ACUUAAAUUGAAGAGUUUGAUCAUGGCUCAGAUUGAACGCUGGCGGCAGGCCUAACACAUGCAAGUCGAGCGGUAGCACAGAGAGCUUGCUCUCGGGUGACGAGCGGCGGACGGGUGAGUAAUGUCUGGGAAACUGCCUGAUGGAGGGGGAUAACUACUGGAAACGGUAGCUAAUACCGCAUAAUGUCGCAAGACCAAAGUGGGGGACCUUCGGGCCUCAUGCCAUCAGAUGUGCCCAGAUGGGAUUAGCUAGUAGGUGGGGUAACGGCUCACCUAGGCGACGAUCCCUAGCUGGUCUGAGAGGAUGACCAGCCACACUGGAACUGAGACAC
rnacentral:rRNA from 1 species